rnacentral:rRNA from 1 species
AUUGAACGCUGGCGGCAGGCUUAACACAUGCAAGUCGAGCGAGCGGCGGACGGGUGAGUAAUGUCUGGGAAACUGCCUGAUGGAGGGGGAUAACUACUGGAAACGGUAGCUAAUACCGCAUACCAUCAGAUGUGCCCAGAUGGGAUUAGGUAGUAGGUGGGGUAAUGGCUCACCUAGGCGACGAUCCAUAGCUGGUCUGAGAGGAGGACCAGCCAUACUGGGACUGAGACACGGUGCAGACUCCUACGUGAUGCAGCAGUGGGGAAUAUUGCACAAUGGGCGCAAGCCUGAUGCAGCCAUGCCGCGUGUGGGAAGAAGGCCUUCGGGUUGUAAAGCACUUUCAGCGAGGAGGAGUUACUCGUAGAAGAAGCACCGGCUAACUCCGUGCGAGCAGCCGCGGUAAUAC